CAUGCAAGUCGUGCGAGAAAGUUCUUCGGAUAUGAGUUGAGCGGCGGACGGGUGAGUAACGCGUAGGAAUCUACCUAGUAGAAGGGGAUAGCCCGGGGAAACCCGGAUUAAUACCGUAUACCUCCUUCGGGAGAAAGAAGGCCUCUCUUUGAAGCUUUCGCUACUAGAUGAGCCUGCGUAAGAUUAGCUUGUUGGUGAGGUAAAGGCUCACCAAGGCUACGAUCUUUAGCUGGUCUGAGAGGACGAUCAGCCACAUUGGGACUGAGACACGGNCCAGACUCCUACGGGAGGCAGCAGUGGGGAAUAUUGGACAAUGGGCGCAAGCCUGAUCCAGCCAUACCGNGUGUGUGAAGAAGGCCUUCGGGUUGUAAAAGCACUUUAAGCAGGGAGAAAAAGUUAUNAGUUAAUACCUUAUAACCCUGAUGUUACCUGCAGAAUAAGCACCGGCUAAUU
rnacentral:rRNA from 1 species